GCCGGUAUAGCUCAGUGGUAGAGCAGCUGAUUUGUAAUCAGCAGGUCGUCGGUUCAAGCCCGACUGCCGGCU
rnacentral:tRNA from 1 species